GACUCUCUGGUGUAAUGGUAGCACAUCCGACACCAGAUUAGAAGGUAAUGUUCGAGUCAUACCAGGGUCA